GCUUCAUUAUCCUUGUAAAAUCAGAGAUAGUGCCAAGCUCCACACAAUAUCACAAGUAUUAAGAUAUUUGGUAAACAGAGUUAAGAAAAGAUGGGCAUGCACAACAGGUGAAAAAGUUCUAGACAUUGUUUUACAGAGAUCCUAAUUCACUCACUACUAAUACUUUGCCCCUUUGAAAAUUAAGGUUCAACAAACCAACAUAUUAAGCAAUAGCACCGCCUGUUUGAUGCAGCAUUGCAUCUAUCUCAUCCCCAUC
rnacentral:misc_RNA from 1 species